AGCCCGUGGUUAGGACAUCUCAUGUAUAAAGCCUUGUAUCUCUUCCAAGCAUCAUACAAGCUCUCGCGUUCAUGCUGAACGAAGCUGAAUAUCUCAUCUCGAAU
rnacentral:snoRNA from 1 species